rnacentral:lncRNA from 1 species
UGGGAAGUAUUGAUUUUCUUUUGCUGUGAUAUAUUGAUAUUUUCAACUUUUUUUUUGAAGCAAAUAAGAAGAAAGAGUUUGACCCAAUCAGGGUUUUCUACAGUCCUUAUCUCUGAAAGCCCUAUCAUUUCCUAAACAGGGGUCAUCCCAGCUUUCCUUCUAGGGUACUUCUUUGUUGUCUGCCUGUGCCUUCUCAGAGUAGUGAUCAUAUCUAAGGUCCCAUGCCCUACUUUGGGAGGAGAGAACAGCCCCUUCGGGACCCCCUUAGGCUUAUAUGCCGAUGUUGGCUGCGAUAAACCAAAUUUGGUAGUAUAACGCAAGGGAGGAGAGAACGAGGAAUAAUUCGGCCUGAGUUGGAUUUUCCUCGGGGUGUGCCCUUGUUCUACUGACUGAGAUGAUAUAUCAUCAUUCGUCCCCAACUAUAGAUUGACGAAUUAACGUUUUGUCCUUGCAUCGACUUUUCACUGUUUCCCUCAAUAUCUUGGGAGCCAUUCUCCCAUACUAUCAAGGCUCCCUUAUCAGGAGAAUGAGACCGGGACCCUAUAAUAGCCGAAGUAGAAUGAGAUUCUCCCUUAUCAGCCUCUUCUAGUUUCCCCUGUCUCGAUAAUUUCAUCCAUGGAGACAGCAACCUCGAGAUGCGUUCCCCUG